AUGGAUCUUUGCCAAGUUCUGGGUCAGGAGUUGGAUGCGCUGGAGAUUGAGAUAGUACAGAAGGGGACAAUACAUCCAAGGAAGAGUUGCAAGAUGAACAGUUCAUGUGCAGAUGUCCUUUUUGCUGCACAUAGGUGGCAGAUGUCCAAACCAAGCUUAGUUUCUGAGUUAAAGGAUGUCUUCGAUCAGAAAGCCAGUAACAAGCACUGGAUUGAUGUGCAACCAAGAUGGGGAGACUAUGAUUCGCAUGACAUAGAACAUUACGCAAGAGCAAAAUUUAUGGACUACAUGACAGAUAAUUUGUCCAUCUACCGUACUCCGACUGCUUAUAAUUUGCACUCUGCUUUUGGUAAUUGGUUCCCUGGGUCAAAGCCCCUCCUUCAGCAAGCAAUGAACAAGAUCAUGAAGUCAAAUCCUGCUCUGUAUGUGCUGAGGGAGAGAAUAGGAAAGGGUCUUCAGUUGUAUUCAUCUGAACCCACUGCCCACCGAGCCAUAUGUGUCUUCAUAGAACUACGGUACUGA
rnacentral:rRNA from 1 species